CUAACACAUGCAAGUCGAACGGCAGCACAGAGGAGCUUGCUCCUUGGGUGGCGAGUGGCGGACGGGUGAGGAAUACGUCGGAAUCAGCCUAUUUGUGGGGGAUAACGUAGGGAAACUUACGCUAAUACCGCAUACGACCUACGGGUGAAAGUGGGGGACCUUCGGGCCUCACGCAGAUAGAUGAGCCGACGUCGGAUUAGCUAGUUGGCGGGGUAAAGGCCCACCAAGGCGACGAUCCGUAGCUGGUCUGAGAGGAUGAUCAGCCACACUGGAACUGAGACACGGUCCAGACUCCUACGGGAGGCAGCAGUGGGGAAUAUUGGACAAUGGGCGCAAGCCUGAUCCAGCCAUGCCGCGUGUGUGAAGAAGGCCUUCGGGUUGUAAAGCACUUUUGUCCGGAAAGAAAAGCUUAGGGUUAAUAACCCUGAGUCAUGACGGUACCGGAAGAAUAAGCACCGGCUAACUUCGUGCCAGCAGCCGCGGUAAUACGAAGGGUGCAAGCGUUACUCGGAAUUACUGGGCGUAAAGCGUGCGUAGGUGGUUUGUUAAGUCUGAUGUGAAAGCCCUGGGCUCAACCUGGGAAUGGCAUUGGAAACUGGCUUACUAGAGUGCGGUAGAGGGUAGUGGAAUUCCCGGUGUAGCAGUGAAAUGCGUAGAUAUCGGGAGGAACAUCUGUGGCGAAGGCGACUACCUGGACCAGCACUGACACUGAGGCACGAAAGCGUGGGGAGCAAACAGGAUUAGAUACCCAGGUAGUCCACGCCCUAAACGAUGCGAACUGGAUGUUGGGGGCAACUUGGCCCUCAGUAUCGAAGCUAACGCGUUAAGUUCGCCGCCUGGGAAG
rnacentral:rRNA from 1 species